GUUUAUUUUUCUCACUGGUGUUUGGGAAUAGAGUAUUCUGAUAUUUUGCACAAUGUGAAAUUUCUGUGUCUUAAGUAAAUCAGGCUUCAUUAAAGUGAAUUUCACUUCCUCUCUUAAGACGGCAAAAUUACAUUAGUUAAAUGUAGGAUUUGACAAACUGUUUUAAGUAGUUAAUAUUGCACUGUUUUGGGGAGCAAGCUAAUAUAUCUGUUUUACUGUAUUGCCUCUCGCAUUUCUAAAAGCUUAUAUUUAUCUCAAAUAUUUGUUAUAUUCUCUACCAGCAUUGUUGGGGAGGUCAGUUUUGACUCAGGCUUAGAUGGCAAGUCAGUACACUGCCUCGUUACUGCACAGUAUGUUUUACAAAUAAACAAAGCUUUCAGCAUGUCUGAUGAGAAUCAAACAUUUCAUGAUUUUCAACAUUUCUCAGCUGACCUCAACAACAUGCCAAAAGAGUAGCUUUCAUUCUUUCAAUCUUUACAUUUGGCACCUACUUACUAAAUUAUCUUAAUUCUGUUAAUUACUUACUGUAGAUAAAUAUUUGGUCUUACUCUUAAACCAUUAAAAAUUAAUAGAACUGACACAAUAGCUACCAAUGUGUACAUAACAACAUACUAGCCACCGAAAUGUUUCUUUUUGUACAAAUUCUUUACUUUAAAUUGACUCUCAGCCAGGGAUGAGACACUAGGAACACAGAUGGAGUCCUAUCUCAGAGUCAAAAGCCUUCUGUUUUUCAUAACUCAAGAUUCAUGGCUGUAAGUAGUGAGGCAAAGCUCUUGGCUGGUCAAGAACAGUGGAAAAUAAUGCAGUGCAUUAGGGAUCCAGAAAUAUUGACGCCAUUGUUAUGAGCACCUAUGAGCACAGAAUUGGUUUUAUACAUUACCAUAACAGAUUGUUGGUGUAUUUUAGGCGCUGAAAAAUACUACUUCCCUCAAAUAACAGUCUUCUGCUCAUUCGUUAGUUUUAAUCACCAGAGAGACAGUGGAUCAAGAGACAGGACAUAAGGUUUUGUUAAAAUUUAGGUAUAACAUACAAGUACUGUGCCCUCUGUACUUGCAUCUUUCGCUCCGUUAUUCAUUUUGCUGUGUUGUCAUUAAUAUAGUCCUAAGCCACUCCUCUGGCUUCUCUUCUCGUGUCACCUUGAAUUUCUUUCUUUACUUAUAAAUUCAUGGAGACCCUAUAGGAAGAUAUUUGCCAAAGUAACAGAGAUGUAUAACUUUCUAAAAAAGAGUGGAAAUUAUGCCUGUCUCUUGACUUUUACAUGUAAAAUCAUUUUGUCUAUGACAAAAUUGCUUCUCCAUCCACUGUUAAUACUCUAUUAUGUUCUGUGUCUCUGUUGAAAUGCAAUAACUAUGUCUUUUCUUUGAGGUGAUACGUGUGUUAACAUGGCUCAUGAUUCAUAGAUGGUAAAGUUAGAAAGAGAUGGUUUAGAUCCACUUUCUUUCAUAAUAAAUAAAACAAUAGUGUUCGAGAAGGUUGAAGAUGAAGAAAAUGCCCAAUGACAGCAUGCCCACUUCUCUUUUCUCCAUCCCCAGAUAAAUUUAGGGUUUGGUCACAGUUAAUACCAUUAGUUUUACGGUAACUUCUGGAAUUAUUGGUUUUGUGAUGAGGAUUUUACCUUUAAACCACUGGAGACUUUGUCAAGAAACCUGCGAUAAUCUUUGUUGAACAGUUGGGCUCAAAAACCCCUGUAAUACACACAAUGGUCAUAAUAUUUCUUAUAUCUAUUUGGGCCCCCAUGAGGUCACUCCUUUGUUUUUCACCUCGCCUGCUUACUACCUUUUCUCCCUCAUUUCCUGUUAAUUGUGAAUUGCACCCCAGGUCCUGACUUGAAGUAUUAUCCUGUCUUUGACUUUGUCAUCAUGCUGCCACGUUCAUCUGCUCUUCUCUGAUCAGUUGAUGGUGUUUUCGUUCCUCUAUGGCAGAUUUUUACUUGGGCACUAUUGACAUUUUGAAUCAGGCACUUCUUUGCUGGGGUGGGAGGUGGGGUGGCUCGUAGGAUGUUUAGCCGCAUUCCUGGCAUCUAACUGCUACAUGUAAGUAGUGCUCCACCUCCCUCGCCCCUCCGGUUGCAACAAUCAAAAACAUCUCUAGACAUCGCCAGUGUGCCUCUUGGGAGAAAAAUUGCCCCUGGUUGAGGACCUCUACCUAUAGAGUUAUUGUUUUUUUACUCCUAUGCCGGAGGAACUUAUUUUUUGUUGAGUUUCUUGCCUCAGCUCUUCUAUCUGCCUCAAUUCCUCAAAACACCCAGAUAUUGGUAAGGAUUUUUUCUCCUAAGAAGGCCAGUGUUGAAGAGUGCAGUAAGCCACCCAUGAAUGCGGAGUUGGAUAAUUCUUCCUCAAGUGCCUACACCUCUUUUCUAGGCACUGGAAAGGCAGUCAAAUGGAUUACCAUUCUACUUUCAUUAAACAGUAAAAGUAGUUAUUCUUACACAUCGCUUCAACUCUUAAGCCAAAUUACCUUGAGUCGUAUCUUUAAUUUCAGGCAAAACUCUUAGCAGCAUCUUUUAAAAAUACUUUUUUAAGGACUUUAACUUUUAGAGAAAUUUUAGAUGUACAGCAACAUUGAGAGGAAGGUACAGAGAUUUCCCAUAUAUGCCCUGCCUCUCCCAUGCAUAGCCGCCCACGUGGUCAACAUCCCCCACCAGAUAGUAUGUUUUUUACCAAGGAAGAACCUGCACUGACACAUCAGAAUCACUCAAAGUCCGUAGUUUACCUUAGGAUUCACUCUUGGUCUUGUACAUUCUAUGAGUUUGGACAAAAGCAUAAUGUCAUGUAUCUCUCAUUAUAAUAUCAUGCAGAGUAUUUGCACUGUGCUAAAAAUUAUCUGUGCUCUGACUAUUCAUCUCCUUGCCAGAUCCCCCAACCUCUGGUUGCCAUUAAUGAUUUACUUUCUCCAUAUUUUUCAUUUUCCAGAAUAGCAUCCAGUUGGAACAAUGUAGCACAUAGGCUAUUCAGAUUGGCUUCCUCCACUUAGUAGUAUGCAUCUAAGCAUUCUCCAUGUCUUUUCAUGUCUUAAUUGCUCAUUUCCUUUUAGUGCUAAACAAUAUUCCAUUGUCUAAUAUUUAUCCAUUCACCUACUGAAUGAUAUCUUGGUUGCUUCCAACUCUGGCAAUUAUGAAAGCAGCAUCCUUUAAAAUAUAUCCAUUUUGUUAUCCUGUCUUACUAUAUGAUCAGAAGUUUCUUUAUAUACCAUCUGUUGAGCUUGGAAUUUAUCAUUGGAGCAGUUAUAUAUCUUCUAGUUUCAGAAUAGUCCUCUAAAGCCCGUUUAAAACAUAGUCUACCUGUAGUGUUGGUAGAUUUUCGCUGCCACAGGCUACAGUGCAUCUAACAAUUUGGAUGCCAGCACUGUCUGUCUACUUGCCAGGGUGGAGGAGGCAGAUGCUCACAGGCCAUGAAAUCGCUAGACAGUUCCCACAGGGACUUGUGAAGGGGAGAAAAGUUG
ensembl:lncRNA